rnacentral:rRNA from 1 species
UUGCAGGUAACUUUGCCAGAUGGUUUGAUGAAAGCGCUUGAGAUUCUUCAAUUUGUUAUGGAUGUAGAUUACUAUCCAAAUGUCUUUCUUGCCUAUCGGAUCCUCCCAACAGUGCAUGUGUCUAUAGCCUCAGCUGAAAGAAGUUUUAAACUGAUGAAACUAUUGGAAAAUUAUUUGAGGUCAACUAUGUUGAAAGACAAAUUGAAUGACUUGGCUAUGUGCUGCAUUGAGAAGUAUAUAUUGGACAACGUUGAUCUUGAUUGUGCACAUCAAGAAACGCCCGAAGAAACUUUUUCUGAAGCACCGAAGUAUUAUUGUUGUCGAUGGAGUCAACCGAAUUUGGUUCUUAUUUAA